rnacentral:lncRNA from 1 species
UUUUAUGAGUCUGCUCAUAAUUUCUUUUGUGUUGACCCUAUUCUCAGGUGAUUCGCUUGUACACUCCAUUGCUAAACUCAAAACAGAUGAUGCACAUGACUGCUUUCCAACAUUAGCGUGUUCUUCAUCUUCACUCAGUAGAUUUGCAUCCAUGAUAUCAAUCACCGCAGGUAACGAGUCGUUAACCCAACGCUUUAUGCUCAUUUCUCCAGUAAAAAAUUCGUUUGUGGGUUUCAUUCCUGUAAAUACUUCCAUCAACAUAAUCCCGUAGCUGUACACAUCACCUUUUAUUGAUACUUGUCCUUCUCUUCCAUACUCUAUAGAUUGCAUAAAUUAAAACAUCAGCAUUCAAUAACAUUCUGCCAAGAAGAUAAUGAAAAACUAAUACUAAUAUUGUUUAAAAUUAACAAAUAUGAAGCUUAGAACAAACCUGGUGCCAUGUAACCUAUCGUGGCGAGUGUUUGUGUUUGUUUCAUAGAGUCUUCUUCACUUAAGAGCUUUGCAAUCCCAAAAUCACUUAAAUGUGCAACCAUGUUGUCGUCCAACAAUACGUUGCUAGGCUUCACGUCGCAAAGAACAAUAGGAUUGGAAUGACCAAAGUGGAGAUAUUCUAAAGCUGAUGCAACAUCUAUCAUUAUGCCCAAUCUCUGAAAAAUAUCCAAAUUAAAAUUGCUAGCGUACAAACAAUCCUCCAGACUCCCAUUCGGCAUGUACUCUAGUACCAAUGCUUUGAAAUUAUGAUUUGUACAACUGCUGAUAAUUUUGACCAAGUUUCUAUGGCGAAUAGUUUUUAAUAUUUCACAUUCCGCAUCGAAACUAUUUAAUGCUCCUUCCCGUUGUAAGUGAAAUACCUUUAUUGCAACCUCAAUCCCAUCUGGAAACCUGCCUUUAUAAACCGAGCCAUAACUUCCAAUCCCAAUGAGGUUUUCUUCACUAAAUUGAUCCGUUGCUCGCAAAAGCUCAUCAUGUGAGUAUCUUCUCCACAUCACUUGUGGUGACAUAUCAGCUUUAAUGUGUGAAACUUCUGUGCUUAUUCUUUUACGACAUCUGGUGAUCAAUCCAAAUGUAAGAGCCAGUAGGACCGUAACAAUGAACACAGUGCUCAAAGGCAAAACAACUCCUAGGAGAAUAACUUGUUUCCUUGAUUUUUUAUGAGGGCUACUUUUGCAUAGUGGAACGUGCAGAUAGGGUGAACCACACAACAAAUCAUUUCCUAUAAAUGAUUCAGCUGAGAAGUUUGCAAAAGCUCCUCCUCUGGGAAUCUCCCCUACUAGUUUGUUGAAAGAGAGAUUUAGACUUUUGAGGUACAAGAGUUUCUCCAAAGAUGCAGGAAUAACACCCGAAAGAUCAUUAUUAGAUAAAUCCAAGAAUUCCAAGCUGACCAACUCACCAAAAGAUUCUGGAAUAGGACCUUGUAGUUUAUUGUGUUCCAAGGAAAGGUGUUGCAGAUUUUUUAGGCCUACAAUUGUGGAUGGGAUAUUCCCCGAUAAAUUAUUCCUUGACAAAUAUAUGUCUACCACAGCUUUCAGAUUUCCAAUCUCCAAUGGAAGAGACCCAUUUAAAGAAUUUGAUGAAAAGUCGAAGCCCAGUAUAUCUUCAAGGUUCCAAAAAGUUGAAGGUAUGACAGAAGUUAACUCAUUUGAACCCAGAGAGAGUAUCCGUAGAGAGUUCAGAUCACCUAAGCAUGAAGGGAUUGAUCCUGAAAGCUUGUUGCGGUUCAAGUAAACCACAUAGAGUCUAGAGAAAUGGCAGAACUCCUGUGGGAUUGGUCCUUCAAAUUGAUUAUAAAUGAUACUCAAAUUUUAUUAAAGAAAUAAAAGACAGAGAAUCACGAGAUCAAUUACUUGAUGAAGCAAUAUAUGGGUGGACUUAGACAUCCUCGAGAAUAUUCUUUUUUAAUUAAAACAAAAGGAUCAUCCCACCCAUCAAAAUCAUUAGGUACAUGACCAAAUUAAUAAAACUACGAGUAAAAUUACCCUCGCGAUGGAUGUGUGAUCAAUAAAAAUACAUGCAUGUUAGAGUGCAAUUUAUGCACUAGUUUUGCAUUGUUUACUUCCCUUAAUAUCGAUGUUUUGCACUUAAUAAUAAUGAUUUACUUGUGUUUUACUUUUGUAGGUGUAAUUCUAUUGAUUUGUGAUAAAAUUGAGCUAUAAGAUGAUGUUUAAAGAUGAUUGUUCUCUUGGAGAAAUUAUGAGCGUCAGAAGAACUUUGUUGAUAAGGCGUGGCGCGUGCUGUCAACUACGGACCUGCAGUUUUUAGUUUAACGUGUUUUGUAUUUUUGGUUAUUUUUGUAAUUACGAAUUUAAUAUUUCAGAUAUUAGUAUUUUAUUUUAAAUAGAAUUCUAAAGGAGAAGAGAGAGAGAGUAUUUAAGAGAGGAAUCUAUUGUGAAAAAGGGGGACUUUUGGAGAGAAAAAAAAAACCCUAGAUCUAAACUUUUCUCUUCUCUCUAUGAAGAACUAAACCUAUUUUUAUGGUUGAAGGUUAAUGCAGCUUUGAUUCAUCACUACUGUGAGAUCUUUCUUGUGCUUUAAUUGUUUUAUUGCUUUUUGGGUAUUUGUUUAUUUUCUGAAUUAUUUUCAUGAUUAUGUUUGUUAAUUAGGUAAUUGGCCGCUAUUUAAUUAUCAACUUAAUCUAUUGUCAAUUAAAGGAUUCAUCGUAUGAAGAAUUUAAUGUUUGUGACAAAUAACAUAGCAGAGAGUUGUGUUGUGAGAAUAAAAAUCUAAUUUAAAUGAAUCAUCAUAUGUGUUGAUUACGAUUUGGGUCUCUCUAGUUUUUCAGGCUGUCAAUUGAUUAAAUCAUAUGAUCGUAUCUAGGGUUGUCUAUUGAUUAGGGAAAUAACCAACGGUCGUACCUUGGUUAUCGACUAGUUAAGGAGAGAUUGGCUAUUAGAGGGUCUCAGUAGCUAUAAUCGGUCUAUUCAUAAGUAAUAAUAAUCUAUAUUUGAAUCAAUGAUCAGUAGUCGAAUCAAGCUGAGUUAAUUCCUUUAACCAGAGCUUUCUCUAAUUUGAAUUACAACUUUAAUUUGCAUUCUUGUUAUUUUAAUUUGAUUUUUAUUAUUGUCAACAAUUCCCCCAUUUUACGUUUUACGUUUCAAAAGGAUUUAAAUAAUUACCGAUCUCUGUGGACACGACCCUACUCAAUCACUAUACACAAUUUAUUUAGAGUAGGAAUUUAUUUUUGUUGGCUUCGACAACCAUCAAAUUUUGGCGCCGUUGCCAGGGAUUGGUGUCAUUUAUUUAAUCCUUUUUACGUUUUACUUGGUGUAUGGUUCGUUCUUCUAGUACAGGUACACUUUCGUUUGAUCCUGAAAUUGAGAAGACAGCUCGCCAGCUGAGACAGCAGACGAAGCGAGCUAAGCAACGAUCCUCGUCGCCUUUGCUUUCUGAAACAGAUACAGUGCCUGAUUUAGUUCAAUCAUCUAGCGAUUCGGAAGAACAAGUGAUGGAUAGAGCUGCACCUGUAGAAAGAACUCUUAGAGAGUUAGCCGAACCAGACUUGAAUCAGCAACCACUCUGCAUUCAAUAUGUAGACUUGGAGGUAAAUUUUGAAUUAAAGUCUGGUCUUAUUCAUUUAUUACCCAAGUUUCAUGGUUUUGCAGGUGAAGAUCCUCAUAAACAUCUUAAGGAGUUUCAUGUUGUAUGUUCAAGUAUGAGGCCACAAGGCGUGACUGAAGAGCAGAUUAAGCUGCGUGCUUUUUCGUUCUCUGUAGAUGGGCUAGCUAAAGACUGGAUGUACUACUUGCCUCAUGGAUCGAUUACAACGUGGAAUGGUUUGAAGAGGCAGUUCCUCGAGAAGUACUUUCCUGCUUCAAGAGCUGCCAACAUCAGAAAAGAUAUUUGUGGGAUCAGACAACUUCCUGGGGAGACUUUGUAUGAGUAUUAGGAGCGAUUCAAACAAUUGUGUGCCAGCUGUCCUCAACAUCAGAUUUCUGAUCAACUUUUUAUUCAAGAUUUUUACGAAGGACUGUCAUUAAUGGAUAGGAGUAUGAUAGAUGCUUCUAGUGGAGGCGUGUUGGUGAACAAGACCCCUACUCAAGAAAGGGAGCUGAUAUCAAAUAUAGCUGCCAACGCACAACAAUUUGGCAGCAGGCAAGAUCUCACUUCAAGGAAGGUGAAUGAGGUAAAUAUUUCUUCUGUUGAACAACGUUUAGAUAAACUUACUUCUCUUGUGGAAAAGUUUGUUGUAGGUAAUGUGCAACAGGUGAAGACUUGUGGCAUUUGUUACAAUAUGGGUCAUUCAACUGAUAUAUGUCCUACACUUCAAGAAGAACCCAUUGAACAAGCCAAUGCAGUUGGAGGAUUUCCAGGCAUGCCUCAGAGGAGGUAUGAUCCUUAUGCACAAACAUACAAUCCGGGAUGGAAGGAUCACCCCAACCUCAGCUAUGGAGUUAGGCCAUCAGGAUUCCCACAACAGUAUCCACCAAGACAACCAGCACCUCCACAAUCAAACUCUAAGUCAGGUAUAUCUCUUGAAGAAAUUGUUAAAUCACUUGCUACUAACACUCAACAAUGUCAGCAAGCAACUACAGCAAGCAUUCAGAACUUGGAGAACCAAAUGAGUCAAUUGGCGACUACAGUGAGCCGUCUGGAGUCUCAAGUAUUAGGGAGAUUGCCUUUACAAUCUGAGGUGAAUCCAAAGCAAAAUGUUAGUGCUGUCAUCCUUAGAAGUGGGAAUGAGUUGCAAGAGCCUAAUAAGAAAGUGACAAAGCAUGUAGAAGAUGAGCUUGAGAAGAAUGAAUUGAUGCCUAAAUCUCAAGAUGCGCAACCCACCAGAGCGAAACCCCUACCUAUUGUGAUACCUCCUCCUUUUCCAAGCCGGUUUGCAAAAUCCAAGAAGGAGGAACAAGAGAAAGACAUCCUUGAGACAUUUCGCAAGGUUGAGGUAAAUAUUCCUUUAUUAGAUGCUAUAAAACAAAUACCUUGAUAUGCUAAAGUCCUUAAGGAACUGUGCACUUCUAAGAGAAAAUUAAGAGGAGAUGAAAAAGUUCACAUGGGGGAGAAUGUUUCAGCAAUUCUCCAAAAGAAACUACCUCCUAAGUGCAAGGAUCCAGGUAUGUUUACUAUCCCUCGUAAAAUUGGUAGUGUUAGAAUUGAAAAGGCUUUGUUAGAUCUAGGAGCUUCUAUUAAUGUCAUGCCUCGUUCCAUUUAUUCAUCUUUGAAUGUUGGUCCAUUAAAAGAAACUGGCGUGAUAAUUCAACUAGCUGAUAGGUCUAAUGCAUAUCCUGAUGGGGUAUUAGAAGAUGUCUUAGUACAAGUUAAUGAGUUGGUUUUUCCUGCUGACUUUUAUGUUCUUGAUAUGGAAGAGGAUAACUAUUCUAAUUUUGUCCCAAUUUUGCUAGGAAGACCUUUUCUUAAGACUGCUAGGACUAAAAUGAAUGUACAUAAAGGGACUCUCACUAUGGAGUUUGAUAGAGAGAUUAUAGAAUUCAAUAUGAAUGAUGCCAUGAAAUAUCCUAGUGAGGAACAUUCGGUAUUUUCUGUGGAUGUUAUUAACCCUAUAGUGCAGGAAGUUAUUUACAAGGAAAAAACGAAGACAUUUCAUGAUAGAAUGAUUUUGAGAAAGGAGUUCUCUGUUGGUCAAAAAGUUCUUCUUUUUCAUUCUAAGCUUAAACUUUUUCCGGGUAAAUUACGUUCUUGCUGGGUUGGACCUUUUAUUAUUACUAAUGUUUUUCCUCAUGGUGCAGUUGAGAUUCGGAGUCCGACCUCUGACAAAAUUUUUAAGGUUAAUGGUCAUCGCUUAAAACCUUUUUAUGAAGGGUUUUCGGUGAAUAUUGUGGAGGAUGUGGCUCUCAGAGUCCCAAUUAUGGAGAUUGAUGCAUAAAUGUGUCUAGCCAAAGACAUAAAACAAAAGCGCUUUUUGGGAGGCAACCCAAAUGAUUUAUUUAUUUUAGUUUUUGUUAUAUCUUCUUUUAAUUUGAUUCAUUUUUUUUAAUGUGUUUGCUUAUUUUGGUCAGAAGAAAAUUUUUGAUAAGGCGUGCCCACGUCUUAACUAAUAAGUACUUCUGUGAUUUUUAAAGUAAAAUGGUUUUAAGGCGUGCCCACGUGCUUAUUAAAAAAGUACUUCUGAAAUUUUUAGUGUCUCAAAGUGAUUCAUCACAAAAACAAAAAAUAAAUUUAUUUAUUUAUUAUUAUUUUUUUCUAUUUAUUUAUUUAUUUUUUAAAAAAAAAGAGAUUUUCUUUUGUUCUUUCUUUUAUAUAUUUAUUUAUUUAUAAAAAAAAUUCAAAAAAAUCAUUGUUAAAAAAAAAUUUACUAUUCACAAAAUCUCUAAUUUUCCAGUACUUGUUUUCUUCUCCAGCCGCUUGCAACACACCAGCAGCAAAGCAGCCCGCCGGAAAACGCACCACCUCGCGAGCGCAGCACCAGCAUCCCGUGUCUCGCAGCCCAGCAGUGCGCAACGAAGUCCCACCAGCGCGCAACGCAGCCUCAGCAGCGCGCAAUUUACUAUGCCGAAUGAUUUUACUUUGCAUACCCCGGAUGUCAUUAAGUUUAGGUUAAUGGGACGAAAUUUGUCACACUCUAUCACAGAUUUUAACCUAGCUUUAGGAUUCAUUGAUGAUGAUUAUUCUACUAGUGAUGAAUAUUUAGGAACAACUUGUGACUUUAGCAAACUUUUUUAGCCUUAUGGUCUUUGGCGUAAUUUAUCUGUUGAUCACAAUGCCUAUGACCCGAGUAAAUCAAAGAGUUCUUUCUUACGUGAUCCUGCUUUGAAAUGUGUGCAUCGAUUCUUAGCAUAUAAUUUUUUAGGCAAGAAAGAUCACUCAGGAAUUUUCUCUAACACUGAAUUUUAUUUUAUUUGGUGCAUGUUAAAUGAUGUGAGGCCUAAUUUAGGUUUUUGGUUAGCGGAUCAAUUUCAAAGUGUGCUUAAACGGUAAAGGACUUUAUUUCUUGGUCCAUACAUUACUCUGUUAGCUAUAAACCUAUGUGUGCUUGAUCCCGACAAUAAUGAUUUGCAUCCUGCUUGCAAAAAGGAAUUUUUGGAUAUGUCUGUGUUUGAAAGAACAGGUGUGGUCGAAUUCAAGGAGGGGAGAUUUUAGUUUAUUGAACCAGGACCCACUCAACUUCCGAAGAAGCUUUAUGCUAGGAGUGGUGCUACCUCUGAUGACGAGUUUGACGACGACACUGCUGCCUCGCCAACUAUUCCUUCUACAUCCGCACCACCUUUGAGCAUUCAGUUAGAGAAAAUGGAGCACAAGCUGAACAAGAUGGAGCAGAAUUUGGCCGCAUACUUCGAGAGUGUGGGAUUUACCCCACCAUUUCCACCAAGCCCAUAGACAUUAUGUGGAUCAAAGCUCACAAUUCAGGGAAGUUUUUUUUGCCCUUAAUCUUUUAUCCUUACGCUUUAAUUUUUAUGUGAGCUUUAAUUAUCUUACAUUGGGGACAAUGUAAGUUCUUGGUGUGGGGGAGGGAUUUUUGCAUUAUUGAUGUCUGGAAUUAUUAUUUUCACUCUACUCAUCUAUUUUCACUCUACUCAUCCUUAAAUGAUUUUGGAGUUAGUAUGCUUCAUAUAUUAUUAUUUUUCUUUUCUUUUCUUUCUCACUACUCUUUUCCCAUCUAUCUCAAAUUAUUUACAUCUAUUUUUAUUCUAUCAUACUCUUUCAUCACUCACAUUUUAUCUUUCACUUUUCAUAUUACUACAUACAUCUUUCUCACUUCUUAUCAUUUUUACCUUUUCUUCACUCAUAUCUUCUUCUCAUUCUACACCACUAUUGAUGGUUGAUUCAUUUGAAGAGUGUACAUGAUUUGAUGGCAAAUUUACCAACUUUGUGAGGAUUUGAGCCUAUGAGCAACCACUUUGCUCUAAUUAUUUUUAUUAUGUGAAUAUCAAUCUUAGUUUGUUUAUUCUAGAAUUAUUAUUUUCACUCUACUUAUCCUUAAAUGAUUUUGGAGUUAGUAUGCUUCAUAUAUUAUUAUUUUUCUUUUCUUUUCUUUCUCACUACUCUUUUCCCAUCUAUCUCAAAUUAUUUACAUCUAUUUUUAUUCUAUCAUACUCUUUCAUCACUCACAUUUUAUCUUUCACUUUUCAUAUUACUACAUACAUCUUUCUCACUUCUUAUCAUUUUUACCUUUUCUUCACUCAUAUCUUCUUCUCAUUCUACACCACUAUUGAUGGUUGAUUCAUUUGAAGAGUGUACAUGAUUUGAUGGCAAAUUUACCAACUUUGUGAGGAUUUGAGCCUAUGAGCAACCACUUUGCUCUAAUUAUUUUUAUUAUGUGAAUAUCAAUCUUAGUUUGUUUAUUCUAGAAUUAUUAUUUUCACUCUACUUAUCCUUAAAUGAUUUUGGAGUUAGUAUGCUUCAUAUAUUAUUAUUUUUCUUUUCGUUUCUUUCUCACUACUCUUUUCCCAUCUAUCUCAAAUUAUUUACAUCUAUUUUUAUUCUAUCAUACUCUUUCAUCACUCACAUUUUAUCUUUCACUUUUCAUAUUACUACAUACGUCUUUCUCACUUUUUAUCAUUUUUAUCUUUUCUUCACUCAUACCUUCUUCUCAUUCUACACCACUAUUGAUGGUUGAUUCAUUUGAAAAGUGUACAUGAUUUGAUGGCAAAUUUACCAACUUUGUGAGGAUUUGAGCCUAUGAGCAACCACUUUGCUCUAAUUAUUUUUGUUAUGUGAAUAUCAAUCUUAGUUUGUUUAUUCUAGAACUUGCUUUGUUAUGCAUGUUGAAGCCACAUUACGGGAUUUUUUUGCAUUAAAAUGAUAAGGGCAAACCAUUUACCAUUUUUCUAUUCUCGCAUUUUCUUUUUUUUUUUCUCUACCCGAAGACCUUGAUUUACUAUCUUUGUUUGAGCCUUAACCAUUACCCAUCUAAUUCUCUCCGUCUACUUAACCAUUUUUCUUCUUUUUGAGCCUCAAUUUAAGGAGAUUUUUGGACUCAUUGUGUGGAUAUAUUUUGUUGCUUUUUCUACCUUGUAUUAAAGUUUCUCAAUUAGAUCAACAAGCAUUAUGCUUGAAUUAAAUUGUGCAAGGUUCGUUUCUUUUGUUUGAUUCAAAAAAAAAAGGAAAAAAAAAAGAGAAAAAGAAAAAAUCGAAAAAAAAGAAAAAAAAUGUUAACAUUCUUGGUGACUUGAGUAGAAAUAAGCGUUUCGAUAUCAUAAAGUUCGUUCAAUGAGUUCAUUCUUCUCAUUUUGAUCUCUUUUUCUUUCAUAAACCUUUCUUUUUCAUUUAACCUAUUUAAUCAUGUUACAACCUUUUAAGACCCUUAGAUUUUUUCAUUUAAUUUAUGUUUUGUAGAUUGAGAUAUGAUAUAUAAGCAAGCUUAUGGUAAUAGCAUUCUUUGAUUUGAUUUGAGUGAAUAAAUGACACCCUAAACACUUUGAGUGCAUGGAGUGAAGUCAAUGAGAGGGCUAUUAAAUCUUAUUGCACUUGAAUUUUGAAUGGAUCUUCUUGGUGGUUGAAUAUUCUUAUUCUAUCUUAUGAGAUUCUAUGCUUUAAAAUCCUUGUCUCUCGAAUGUUGAUCGACUUAAUUUCUUGAGGUAUACUUGCUUAAAAUUAUUUUUGGAUGAGUUGAGAUGAGAAUUGAGUGGAGCUUUGGGAUUAAUCUUGAGUUAUAUGCUUGAGGACAAGCAUCAUCUUGGUGUGGGGGAAUUUGUUAGAGUGCAAUUUAUGCACUAGUUUUGCAUUGUUUACUUCCCUUAAUAUCGAUGUUUUGCACUUAAUAAUAAUGAUUUACUUGUGUUUUACUUUUGUAGGUGCAAUUCUAUUGAUUUGUGAUAAAAUUGAGCUAUAAGAUGAUGUUUAAAGAUGAUUGUUCUCUUGGAGAAAUUAUGAGCGUCGGAAGAACUUUGUUGAUAAGGCGUGGGCGCGUGCUGUCAACUACGGACCUGCAGUUUUUAGUUUAAAGUGUUUUGUAUUUUUGGUUAUUUUUGUAAUUACGAAUUUAAUAUUUCAGAUAUUAGUAUUUUAUUUUAAAUAAAAUUCUAAAGGAGAAGAGAGAGAGAGUAUUUAAGAGAGGAAUCUAUUGUGAAAAAGGGGGACUUUUGGAGAGAAAAAAAAAACACUAGAUCUAAACUUUUCUCUUCUCUUUAUGAAGAACUAAACCUAUUUUUCUGGUUGAAGGUUAAUGCAGCUUUGACUCAUCACUACUGUGAGAUCUUUCUUGUGCUUUAAUUGUUUUAUUACUUUUUGGGUAUUUGUUUAUUCUCUGAAUUAUUUUCAUGAUUAUGUUUGUUAAUUAGGUAAUUGGCCGCUAUUUAAUUAUCAACUUAAUCUAUUGUCAAUUAAAGGAUUCAUCGUAUGAAGAAUUUAAUGUUUGUGACAAAUAACAUAGCAGAGAGUUGUGUUGUGAGAAUAAACAAUCUAAUUUAAAUGAAUCAUCAUAUGUGUUGAUUAGGAUUUGGGUCUCUCUGGUUUUUCAGGCCGUCAAUUGAUUAAAUCCUAUGAUCGUAUCUAGGGUUGUCUAUUGAUUAGGGAAAUAACCAACGGUCGUACCUUGGUUAUCGAUUAGUUAAGGAGAGAUUGGCUAUUAGAGGGUCUCAGUAGCUAUAACCGGUCUAUUCAUAAGUAAUAAUAAUCUAUAUUUGAAUCAAUGAUCAGUAUUCGAAUCAAGCUGAGUUAAUUCCUUCAACCAGAGCUUUCUCUAAUUUGAAUUACAACUUUAAUUUACAUUCUUGUUAUUUUAAUUUGAUUUUUAUUAUUGUCAACAAUUCCCCCAUUUUACGUUUUACGUUUCAAAAGGAUUUAAAUAAUUACCGAUCUCUGUGGACACGACCCUAUUCAAUCACUAUACACAAUUUAUUUAGAGUAGGAAUUUAUUUUGUUGGCUUCGACAACCAUCAAUGCCCCAAAUUAAACUUAAACAAUUCAACCAUUCUAUACGUAAUUACCACGGAGGCUUGAAACCGGAACUCACCAGCUAAAAGCCAAGUUGAGGUUGUUGUUGAACUUGUCUUCCUUGUGAUAAUAUAUAAUCAAGCAGUACCUAUCACUGCCACGUCAGUCGUAAGGUGAAUCAGGAUACACAAAGAAAAUAUAUCUUUCUUUUUUUUUUUUUAAAUUUCUAAACCAAUUACCAACAGUAAGUUUUUGGACCGAGGAGCAUCCUGACGGACCCGGCAUCCAAAACCAAAAUUAUAUAUGACAGAAACAGAGUGACACUUUGAACCGCCAAACUCUUCUACUCUGGUCUAAAUCUCCAUGCAAAUGCACACACACACACACACAGGUACUCUCAUCUCUGUCUAACUAUUAUCUUUACUCUCUUGUUGCCACAUGAGUCUGCAUGAGAAUUGAAAAUUCCAAAACCAUUGACAAUGGCAUUAAUUUCAUCAACAGACUUAUGCUUAAUUUUGUUUCAAUUAGUUGUUAGGCUUUAGUUGAGCCGUUUUUAGCCAAAAAGGGGGGGGGGGGGGGCAUUAUCACUACAAGCACUGUAAUAAGAUCUUUAGCUUCCUCACAUAUCCAUUUAACGAAUCAAAUUGUGAGAAAAUAUUAAACACACUUUGGAUUAUACUCAUGUUUUAAAAGGUAAAAUAUUAUUGUCUGAGAUAAAAUUAAUUUUGUGAAAUUUAAAAUCUUCUCAAAAUAAUUUAAAAAGUAAUCAAACUAAUGGGUUGUGAAGGAAAGAACAGAAGUAGAAAAGAUAAAUUAAUUAAAAAGUAAGGAGCGGUCAUUUUAGAAUUCGAAGUACUGAAAUCUAUCCUUUUUAUAUGCAAGUAAGAGGUUAAUACAACAUUUUAUUUUCAAUAAAAUUGCCCUUGGCAGCCGAGGUUCAUUCGAGAAGAUAAAGUUUAUGUAAUGAAAUUUGAAAAUAGGAAUUUUUUUUUCCUAAUUAAUCAAUAUGAAUUGUUGUACUGUACCUAAUUCAUUUCGAUUGUCGUUGUGUACCCAUCACUAAGAUACAACUUAGGGUACUAUUCAUACAACAAUGUUACUAUAGCACACAAAACAACAAUACUAUUUAUGCUAUAGUACUGUCAUUUCUAUCAUGGUGGUAUUUUGUUGAUUGUCAAAUAUUAUUAAUCAUAUUUCGUUGUUUCAUUGUUGGGGCACUUAUGGGCAUGUGAUAUCACGGUUUGUAGAAAUGCUCAAUCUCAGUUGAGUGCAGCAGCAGCAGCAGAUGCAGUGAAGCAACUGAUUCCAGAAUCGGCAGAUCAUGACUAUCUUCCACCUCAACGCUGUGGAUUAUCAAAGCAUGCCUCAGGUUAUUCUCUACAGACAGAGUGGCGCUUGCACAACCAAACACUUGUACACACAUCCUAGUCUUAUGUUUUUUUUUUUUUUUAAUAUUGCAUGGUAAAUCUAGUUACUUGUGCUUUCUAACAUUGGAUGAUAAAUCGAGCUACUUGUAUUUACAAAUUAAAAAUCAAUUAAAAUCUCCUAAAUUAAUUCUUUAAUUUCGCAUAUUUAGAUAUGAGUGGACUCAAUCUCAACACUCUUUUCAUAUGUAUGAAUAAGAAAAUAAUUUACUGUUUUAAUACUAUAGAUGGUUUCUAAUUUAAAAUUUAUAUCCUUUUAAAUAUGACAUUGAUUACUGAUGACCACAUGUGAGGCUAUCGUUGACAUUGAUUACUAAUGACCAUAUGUGAGGUUGUCGUUGUAGUUGUGUGUGUGUAGUCUUUCUCUAGUAAGAGCAUCUAAGGGUGCACAUUAAAAUACAAUAGAAAAAAAUUAGAUUUCAAUAUAUUGGAGACUGUGUUUUUUAGAAGUGAAGAUGCCCUUAUUAGAGAAUUAUUAUUAUUAUUAUUAUAUAUCCAAUCUAAGAUUCUAAAUUUGUUAAAGUUCGGGAAAUUUAUUAAGUCAUAAUGUUAUUAAAAUGGGUCCGGCUAUGGUGCAACUGUGGUACCAUACCACUGUUGCUUCCAGCCGUUGAAUCCAGCUUCUGGUAACAACUGUAGCUGAAUUUAACAGCUGGAUGCAACUGUGGUAUGGUACCACAAUUGCACCAUAGUUUUGCCCUAUUAAAAUAUAUUAUCUAACAGUUUUCUCGGAAUUUAAUAAAGUUGAAGUUCUUAAACUAGAUCAAUACCCUCUCCCUCUUUCGUACAAAAAUGAUACUCAAAUUUUGUUAAAGAAAAAAAAGAGAGAGAGAGAGAGAGAAUUACAAGAUCAAUUAAUUGAUGAACCAAUAUAUAUGGGUGGAACUAGACAUUCUCAAGAAUAUUCUUUUUUAAUUAAAACAAAAAGAUCAUCCCACCCAUCAAAAUAAUUAAGAACAUGACCUAAAUUAAUAGAACUACCAGCAACGGAAAACAUACAUGCCUCAAAUUAAACUUAAACAAUUCAAUAAAAUACAUGCCUCAAAUUAAACUUAAACAAUUCAACCAUUCUAUACGUAAUUACCAUGGAGGCUUGAAACUCCCAACUCACAAGCUAAAAGCCAAAGUUGAGGUUGUUGUUGUUGAACUUGUCUUGUCUUUUUUAUGAUAAUAUAUAAUUCGCAGCAGUACCGAUCACUGCCACGUCAGUCGUGAGGUGAAUUAGGAUAUGCAAAGAAAAUAUAUCUUCUUUUUUUUUAAUUUCUAAACCAAUUAUCGACAGUAAUUUUUCGGACCGACCCGGCAUCCAAAACCAAAAUCUUGACCAUGGGUUUCGUUAUCCAAAACUAAAGAAACACAAACAGAGUGAUAAAGCGACGGCCAGUGCUACGUUGUUUCUUCUUAUUUCUGCCAAUUCGAAGUCUAGCUGAGAGUGAACAGACACAAAUUCGCCUAAGCCAUACUUAGAGCUCUAGCAAUUAAGCUGGCAACAACCGCUACAAGCAUUGCUUUGGACUACUGCUGCUUGAUAGUGCCGACUCCUAUUACUUGUGAAGAUGUUGACAUAAUGCCAUCACUGGCUUCUAAGAUUGCUGAUCUAAUCAACUGAGAGCGUUUUGAAUAGUCCCCGCUGUUGGCUGUUUCUGCUGUUGACUGAUUACUAGUGAUCUCAUAUGGUUGGCAGAAAACUCAAAAGAGGAGAGAAUACAGAAGCGGAUCGUGCCCUUUAAGUCACAUGUUGCUUUCUACCACAUCGUUUCAAACGAAGUUUUACUAUAAUAUUUCUCUAGUUUGGACUUGGUGUGUAAUUAAUAGUCAUUGCUUUGGUCAAUACACAGCCUCUUUUCCUUGUACAUGAAGGUAAUAUUUAGAUUGUUAUUCUUUCAUCCAGAAUAAGGACAUGAAAGAGCACGAUUUUUGUAUCUAUUAGAAUAGACCGAACAAUUUUUGUCAGAAGUAAUUAUGUAUAUUGACAGUAUAGCUGAACAGGUUGGGGAAAUAUAUAUCUGUUGAGAGAAGACUUGUUCUCGUAAGACAAAAAUUCUAGCCUCUAUGCUUGCAGCUGGAGGGGCCUCUGUUUCUGAACGGGGGAACUCUGUUUCAGCAGGCUUGCAUAGAAGGGUUGGAUUCGUUAAUGGGGCAAAUUGGACACAUGAUGAGGUGCAAAUUUAGGAAUAUUUUUGUCUCAUAUAAGAUAAAAAAUAUAUGCACGUAGCCGUUUACAAAGUGAUCAAUUCAUCACACACGAAACAAAUAAUUGAUCUGCAAGUCAUCGUAAUUCGUUUCAAUUUUCUAGCUGCGAGCUCACAACAUUCAAAUACUUCACAAAGUCUACAGAGUUAAUAAAUAAAUAUACGUGACAGACUUAUUCUCAGACCAUUUCAAUAUUGGCAAAUAAUAAGUCUCUAAUUUUUAUGAGUCUGCUCAUAAUUUCUUUUGUGUUGACCCUAUUCUCAGGUGAUUCGCUUGUACACUCCAUUGCUAAACUCAAAACAGAUGAUGCACAUGACUGCUUUGCAACAUUAGCGUGUUCUUCAUCUUCACUCAGUAGAUUUGCAUCCAUGAUAUCAAUCACCGCAGGUAACGAGUCGUUAACCCAACGCUUUAUGCUCAUUUCUCCAGUAAAAAAUUCGUUUGUGGGUUUCAUUCCUGUAAAUACUUCCAUCAACAUAAUCCCGUAGCUGUACACAUCACCUUUUAUUGAUACUUGUCCUUCUCUUCCAUACUCUAUAGAUUGCAUAAAUUAAAACA